rnacentral:rRNA from 1 species
AGUGAACGCUGGCGGCGUGCCUAAUACAUGCAAGUCGAACGGAGUGGCGCACGGGUGGGUAAUGUAUAGCUAAUCUGCCCUACACUAGAGGACAACAGUUGGAAACGACUGCUAAUACUCCAUAGUGUAGGAUGAGGCUAUAUUGUAUCAGCUAGUUGGUGAGGUAAUGGCUCACCAAGGCUAUGACGCAUAACUGGUCUGAGAGGAUGGUCAGUCACACUGGAACUGAGACACGGUCCGGACUCCUCCGGGAAGCAGCAGAAGGGAGUAUUGCUCAAUGGGGGAAGCCCUGAAGCAGCAACGCCGCGUGGAGGAUGACACUUUGCGGAGCGUAAACUCCUUUUGGUAGGGAAGCGGUACCUAACGAAUAAGCACCGGCUAACUCCGUGCCAGCAGCCGCGGUAAUUC